GGUCUUGGAUGGGCUCACGGCCUAUCAGCUUGUUGGUGAGGUAAUGGCUCACCAAGGCGACGACGGGUAGCCGGCCUGAGAGGGUGACCGGCCACACUGGGACUGAGACACGGCCCAGACUCCUACGGGAGGCAGCAGUGGGGAAUAUUGCACAAUGGGCGAAAGCCUGAUGCAGCGACGCCGCGUGAGGGAUGACGGCCUUCGGGUUGUAAACCUCUUUCAGCAGGGAAGAAGCCACAAGUGACGGUACCUGCAGAAGAAGCGCCGGCUAACUACGUGCCAGCAGCCGCGGUAAUACGUAGGGCGCAAGCGUUGUCCGGAAUUAUUGGGCGUAAAGAGCUCGUAGGCGGUUUGUCGCGUCUGCUGUGAAAGCCCGGGGCUUAACCCCGGGUGUGCAGUGGGUACGGGCAGACUAGAGUGCAGUAGGGGAGACUGGAAUUCCUGGUGUAGCGGUGGAAUGCGCAGAUAUCAGGAGGAACACCGAUGGCGAAGGCAGGUCUCUGGGCUGUUACUGACGCUGAGGAGCGAAAGCAUGGGGAGCGAACAGGAUUAGAUACCCUGGUAGUCCAUGCCGUAAACGUUGGGCACUAGGUGUGG
rnacentral:rRNA from 1 species